CAGGGGUGUUGCGAGGAGUUAGAGGUCGUGCGCCGGCCGAAGCAGCAAGAGCAAUGAUUUGGCGGCCUCUCUUCUCUGCCACAGUUCCCUUCUCUUCAUUCAGCUCUCGAGACAUUGACCUGCAGGUGCUAGAGUUUGUCCGUGUGUUGUUUAUGCUCAGGUUUAAUCUCCACAAAAGAUGGCCCACACUACUUUACAAGGAACUGCUGUUGUCCAGUUCAGAGGCAAACCAUUGUUUAACAACGGAUAUGCGGAGGCGUUUUUAUGGAUGUGCAUUUCCCCUGAAUUUGGAUAGCUAAUCAACCUGUUGCGGACAUUUUUGGUAAUUCAAUG